CUUUUCUAUGGUGCUUGGGGAGCAAAAUGGUCUUGAAUGGAUUUACAUUUCAUGCAUCAUUUCCAUGAUAGACUGAGAAUGGUGCGAUUGUGGUAUAACAUUGUAUAAGUUUUGUUGUCCAGGCGUAUACGAAGCUACAUCUCUGGACCAUGUUAGGAAAGAUUCUUUGCAAAAUUCAGAUUUACCCAGUGCGGUUUUUGAGGACCAGAUUCAGAUGUCUCUGCUGCCAACUUAAAGUAAGGACUAAUCUGUGUAGAAUUCUUUGCUUCUCACUACAUAAACCUUAUAACGACACAUCCAUUUGCUCAUGAUGGCGACCCUUCUUUUAAACUUGAUGGUGGGAUGGGAAACCUGGUGGAAAGUUAUUAAUUUCUAUUGAUCUAUCCAUAUUAGGAUUAUCUCUAGUUACAACAACCAUUUGAAAUUCCAUACAGAAGAAACUUUUAUGUUUGAAUUUCUCUUUAAAACUUUACAGUAUCAACUGAACACUUGAUCCGGUGGUGAUUUUUAUCUCUAAAAGUGUGUGCUAGUGCACCGAAUUUUCUCCUCUCUCUACCCUAAGAACUCUUUUAGGCCUAACCUGUUGAAAUGACUUUCUGUUUCGAAAUUUCUGCAUGGCAAAAUAGUUGUAACAGGUUUACACUCUUGUACUGCAGGAUUUUCAUCUCCGAACUUUUCCACUGACCUUUUUUUUUUCGUUUUUCUUUUUUCUUCUUUGUGCAGCAGCAAUUUAAUCAGGUGACUGUUUCAUUAGUGUGGAUCUGUUGCUUCCUUUUCCGAGUAAAAGUGGCUGCAAGAAUAUUUAUAAUCCUUUGCAGUGCUCAAAUUUUUUCAUAUCUGCAAAGAAGAAAUGUGCAAGCAGAUUCUUGGCUGUUGUGGCCACUGGAAAAUUCCCAACUGUUUGAGAAUGGCAUUAUGGGUCCACUUUGGAGAUUGGGUUCAUUACUUUGUAUAUCUUUUCAGUUGUCACUCUCAGGUUCAUGGAUUCUUCAAUAAAUACAACUUUUGCCCAUUCUUUCUGAAAAAUAGAUUGCAUAGAUCAUUGCUGUGACCGUAAGCUCUAAAGGAUUAUUUAGGGCACAUAUGGUACACUGAAGCGAACAUUAUUUGAUAGAUAGAAAAACUUUAUAAAUUUUGUCGCACUUCUCUAUCUUUAAUUCAAUGUAGUCAUGAUUCGCUACGAGGUUUCACGACUGUUGGAUUUUCUUGGGGGGUCUAUUAUCCCUUCCACCCCCGAUCAUUGUUUUAUUAUGCUACAUGUGCAUAAUGAUUUACGUACAUGUGGUAUAGUAAGAUAGGAUUGAGCCAA
rnacentral:lncRNA from 1 species